rnacentral:rRNA from 1 species
AGAACGAACGCUGGCGGCAGGCUUAACACAUGCAAGUCGAACGCCCGUAGCAAUACGGGAGUGGCAGACGGGUGAGUAACGCGUGGGAACGUACCCUUCGGUUCGGAAUAACUCGGGGAAACUCGUGCUAAUACCGGAUACGUCCGCAAGGAGAAAGAUUUAUCGCCGAAGGAUCGGCCCGCGUCGGAUUAGCUAGUUGGCGGGGUAAUGGCCCACCAAGGCAACGAUCCGUAGCUGGUCUGAGAGGAUGAUCAGCCACACUGGGACUGAGACACGGCCCAGACUCCUACGGGAGGCAGCAGUGGGGAAUAUUGGACAAUGGCGCAAGCCUGAUCCAGCCAUGCCGCGUGAGUGAAGAAGGCCUUAGGGUUGUAAAGCUCUUUCAGCGGGGAAGAUAAUGACGGUACCCGCAGAAGAAGCCCCGGCUAACUUCGUGCCAGCAGCCGC